rnacentral:SRP_RNA from 1 species
UUGGGAAAGUCUUGCACGACCAGCUCCCUCCCAAUCCCCCCAGGGCAGGAAUGCAGCAAGGGUAAGAGGUUGUAGCGGUGCGAUGUAAGUAGCUUUCCCU